AAGCCAGGGCAUCUGGCUCGUGACUGUG
rnacentral:piRNA from 1 species